rnacentral:lncRNA from 1 species
UUUUUGACCUUAAACUUGGAGUGUGAGUUGCCAGUUUCAGAGUUUGCAAGAACACAUUUGCCUGUAUAAUUCAAGGGCUCUGGCACUCUCAAUUGUUUCCAGACCAGAGCAGGUUCUUCUUUUGUCACUAAGGGUCUCAAGGAAGCCACACAAGCACCAAGUCACACAAUAGGCACCUGCUCUUGUAUCCACCAGUCCCUAAAGUGCUGAUGUGCAUAUUGUCAUUUCUUUGGCCCUCCUCUUCUGUUUUCCAUACUAAU